rnacentral:rRNA from 1 species
AGGAUGAACGCUGGCGGUCUGCUUAACACAUGCAAGUCGAACGGGCGUAGCAAUACGUUAGUGGCGGACGGGUGAGUAACGCGUGAGAAUCUACCUUCAGGACGGAGACAACAGUUGGAAACGACUGCUAACCCCCGAUGUACUGAAAAGGCAAAUAUUUAUAGCCUGAAGAAGAGCUCGCGUCCGAUUAGCUAGUUGGAGAGGUAAAAGCUCACCAAGGCGACGAUCGGUAGCUGGUCUGAGAGGACGAUCAGCCACACUGGGACUGAGACACGGCCCAGACUCCUACGGGAGGCAGCAGUGGGAAUUUUCCGCAAUGGGCGAAAGCCUGACGGAGCAAGACCGCGUGGGGGAAGAAGGCUCUUGGGUUGUAAACCCCUUUUCUCUGGGAAGAAGUUGUGAAGCAGCCUGACGGUACCAGAGGAAUCAGCAUCGGCUAACUCCGUGCCAGCAGCCGC